GCGCCUGUAGCUCAACUGGAUAGAGUAUCGGUCUUCGAAACCGAGGGUUGCCCGUUCGAUCCGGGCCAGGCGCG
rnacentral:tRNA from 1 species